CAAUUUGCAGAGAACUUCUAAUAGAGAGUUUGGAAGAAGAAUAGAAAUUUUACUAGAAUUUUUAGGUUGAAGAAGAGGAGGAGAACUCAAGCAAAGUGUAUCCAUGGCUGAAUUUUAGUUCAUUCUGCACAUCACUGGUUUUUAAUUCGGUUUGAACUCUUCAAAAGGAAAUAAGAGGGCAGUUGGUUUUCACUCGAAAUCAGGAGGUCUCUGGUUUUUCUUGUAUUUCAGAGUGUAUCGGUGGAGUUAGAAUCUCUAUUUGGGACAAGUUAAAGAGGUCGUGUGCGCGCGAUUCUGGAAGUGGUUCUGUUUUGAGUGUUAUAUGUGUUUAUGCACGGGGACUCAGAUUUAUAUGUCUUCAGGCCGAGAAGAAUUAAACCGUGCUUAUAGACCAAGGAUCUAGCCCAAGACUGUGAGUGACAAAACCAACUUUGAAAUAUUUUCCAUAACUGUUAUUAUGAUUGAAUGCGAUAAAUGUUUAUUUAUGAAGCCAUGAAAGGUAUUUGAAUUUCAUGACUAUUUUCAAGUAUACAUUUGGAGACUAGAUUUCUUAAAGAAAUUUAUGCUAGCACGUAGAUAUUAAAUGUUUGGAAAGUAUUUAAACCACAAUAUUUUAAGCAAAGCAUGAAUUAGUAUGAAGUUUUGUUUUAAGAACUACAAUUUUCCACAAAAGAGCUGAGUAAAGUUCGAGCUUUGUGUAAAAUUUAUAAGCAGACAUGUUUUAAUAUUUUAAGAUGAUUUAUGAAAUUUUCAUUAACUACAUGACUGAGAUCUUGAGCCUGAGGCUAGAGAUUACCGUGUGCACACUGGUUAGAUUCCAUUGUUGACGUUGAGUGUACUCCGUAACAACGAUGCUGUCGUGAGUGCUGGGCAGGCCCCACUAUGACAAAGACGAUGGAAGUGCUGGGCAGGUCCCACUACAUUGUAGUGCUUGUAAACGUUGUUGUACUAGGUGUACCCUACACAACGUAGAUUCGGCAUGUUAGUUAAAAUGCUUCGAUAUACUUGAUAUGCCUUGCUAGAUUUCAAUGAUGAACAUGCUGAGUAUUUAAGGAAGCUAUUCUUACUACUACACAUUUACAUUUACGACUUGUAUAAACAGAUUUAUGUGAGUAAAGUUUUCACGUGCUCUUAUCUUUAAAUUCAUAGUUUUAAACUGAGUCACUCACUGAGCUUCAUAGCUCACCCUUUCCAAAAUAUUUUACCCAUUUUCCAGGUAGAGAUCGAGUUCCCGGUGCCUGAUAGACUGCCUUAGUCUGCGGAAGCUUCAUUAUCGAUUGCCAGUACGUGUUUUGAGUUGAGCACAGAGUCUGUUGUGUUGUGAUAUAUAUACACCCUUGUAUGUUAUAGAUACUCCACAGUUUGUAUAAGUUUUAGGAGCUGUAGUUGUGUAAAUUUUGUUGGUUAUAUUUUGAUUAAGGUGUCUUUAGGUUUACUCGUGAAAUCGGUAAAUUUUGAGGUACACUUCAUGUAUGUGUUUGACUAGCUGUGUUUGACUAGCCUAGGAUCCGCUGUGUUUUGUUGCAUGUAUAAUAGUUUAUAUACUAGAUUGGCAAGUUCAUCACAUGAAAGUUUUAAGCAGAGUCGACAGAUACAGGAACAGAAAAGCGUUGUUCGUCGGCUUCACGCCAUCUUUUGGUCUAAGGUAGCAGGUAGUCCGGGAGGGGGUGUGACAAUA